UUCCUAUUAGCUUAAGGGUAGAGCAAGAUACUUCUAAUAUCUGUAUAUGAGUUCAAGUCUUGUAUAGGAAU